rnacentral:rRNA from 1 species
UACGUAGGGGGCAAGCGUUAUCCGGAUUUACUGGGUGUAAAGGGAGCGCAGACGGCAGUGCAAGUCUGGAGUGAAAGCCCGGGGCUCAACCCCGGCGAGCCGUUGAAACUGUCGGACUAGAGACGGCGAGAAGUACGCGGAAUGCGCGGUGUAGCGGUGAAAUGCGUAGAUAUUAGGAGGAACACCAGUGGCGAAGGCGGCCUACUGGACGGUGACUGACGCUGAGGCUCGAAAGCGUGGGGAGCAAACAGG